rnacentral:rRNA from 1 species
AGAACGAACGCUGGCGGCAGGCUUAACACAUGCAAGUCGAGCGCCCCGCAAGGGGAGCGGCAGACGGGUGAGUAACGCGUGGGAAUCUACCCAUCUCUACGGAAUAACGCAUGGAAACGUGUGCUAAUACCGUAUACGUCCUUCGGGAGAAAGAUUUAUCGGAGAUGGAUGAGCCGCGUUGGAUUAGCUAGUGGUAGGGUAAGGCCACCAAGGCGACGUAGUCCAGUAGCUGGUCUGAGAGGAUGGAUCAGCCACACUGGGACUGACGACACGGCCCAGACCUCCGUACGGAGGCAG